GUGAAAAUUUACCUUGGCCUGCUGGUUUUUUGUUUACCACUUCUGACAUUGGAAUACUUUGGACCUGAGGGAAAUAUCCUAUUACCUUGUCACAAAGGAAGGGAUUGUGAGCGUGAUGCAAUGGAUGUGUUUGCUUGGUUGCAGAGAGACUGGAAAACAAAAGACAAUCCUGCUCAACUUCAGAGGCUUUGGGACAUGUUGGAACAUAGAACGAGGCUUGGCUUCCACACCACAUCUCCAAUACAGUUCUAACCCCUAGAAUGGGUUCAUGUCCUUUCUUCGCUACUCAUAUUUGAAAAAUGUCACCAGUGGAAGAUAAGAAAAAAAAAUUAAUGGAAACUUUGCGAGAGCAAGGAAAGGACCAGCGGCAAUGGCACUCUUCAGUAGUCAAACUGAAUGGCUGAACUACUGGAAGAUUAUUUGAAAUUACCCAUUUAGGCAAUUAUGUACCUGUCUGCCAGGACUUAUCCUGGAGUGGUAGGCCUUUCAAAUUCUUUUUCUUGUGCUAUUAUGACAAUUUAGAAAGGAGCUAAAUUUCCCAUUCCAUUUCACUAGGUAGGACUAAGGUAAGACUGUUUUGAUUAAGUGUCUGAACAGACUUUUUUGAACUCUAUUAAAUCAGAGAACAACAGUCACUGCGAAUAUGUGAUGGCUCAGGGUCUUCUUCAUGUUUUCUAUGUCUUUUCUUUCCUAUCAGAAUUCAGAAAUGUGUGGUCGUACUCUAGUAUAUAUUUUUCUCAGGAUAUAUUUUUUAAGUGCAUGUGGGCUUUGUAGGAUAAAAAGAUUUCAUUUAAAAAAAACUACAAUGCCUUCCUAAUUUAAUUUUAUUUUUAUAAUAUGAAGAAAGAAAGAAUUCAGGCAAAAUUCAGGCUAUUCUAUAUCUAUAUUCAUGUUAUGCUGGACAAUUAUAUUAUUAGCAUUCAAGACCAGUAAGGAGAAGAAAAAGAAAGAAAUUAACAUAUUGCCCAGUGUAAGUAAUCUACAUUUUUAAAUAGUGCCCAAACUAGAAUUCCUAUUCAUUCCGAUAAUGAAAGACAAGAGAACUUUCCAGACAAGAUAGAGAGUGGAUGUAAUUCUAAUUAUAUAGCAUCAAUCUCUUUGCAAUCAGAAUAUCCAAUUUUUAAAAUCUUUCUAUUAGUUUCCAAACUGUAGGAACUGUUGCAUUUGGAGUGCUAUGUGUCCAACAAUUAUCUGAACAUAUCAAUUUUUUCCUUAAAAGGAUAGACAUGCAAUUUUUGCAAACUAUUUUUUUUGUUCAUUUAAUUAUGUUUGAAUCUAGAUAUAUGAUAUAUCAGUGCAAAAGUGGUAUUCAUGCACUUGGCGUUCUAAUUCAAUUUUUCAUGCUUCCCUAUAUCCCUGUACAUAUAAUCUGGCAUAUUCCAGCAACUGUUCACAAUUACCUAUUAUUCAUGGGACUACUUAGACACAGUUCUUUCCUUUUGUGCAUAAAGCAUAUACAUCUCCCACAUUUCAUACGGCUCUUAUAGCAACAUGGUCUACAGUGCUAGAGCCAAAAUUCAUCUGCAAAUGUGAAUUUCUACCCCACAAAGCCAACUUGGGAAAUUGCAGUAUGACAUAUUUGAAGGACUUCACAUAGUUUUGCACUAAUGCUUUGUCAAUGCAUGCUUCUCCCCACUGAAAGAAGUUGCAAAAUAUAUGGAACGUAUCCUGUAGAUCAGGGUCCCCAACCUGGGGGCCGUGGCCCACUACUGGGCUGUGGCCUAUUUGCAACUGGGCCACAUGAGUGGCAGGCUGGUGCACCUGCAGAGCCCCACUUAUGUGAGUGGUGGGUGCCGGCGUUAGCUGCUCCACUCAAAUGAGCAGCAGGUGCUGGUGCUCGUAGCCCCACUUGGUGAGUGGUGGGUGCCGUCACUCACAGUUCCACUUGUGCGAUCAGCAUGUGUGUGCACCCACUGCUCACACAAAUGAAGCUGUGCAUGCGUGUGCGCCUGCCCCUCACACAAAUUUCUUCUGAUUUAUAUAGAAAGUCUUUUCCAUUUUCAGUGUUGUCAGUCCCUUUUCAGGAUAUUCCAUUGACUGUACUUGUUGGUCAAUAUAGUACUCUGUCUUAGUAUUUGAUUGCUCCACUUUUUCUGUUACCUUCUGCAUUGUUAGUUCUUUAGUUGUAGUCGAAUUUGGGUUUGUAUAUCUAAGCUGACAUCUUGUUCUUUUCUGUAACAUCUUAUUUUGUCACAAGCUGAAAGGAUGGUUUCAUGUAUUGCUUUCAACAUGGAAAGAAACUUUUCCUGGUCUCCAUCCAUCUUCUCUUAAUGAUGGGAGUGGCACUGGGAGAAUAUCUGAAGGACAGCAAAGAAGAUGCAUAGAAGGUAGUAGGCCAUAAAGGCUUACUGAAUACCGAAGACACCAAAUAGCCUAUAAGAAAGACCAAGUGAAGAACAGAAAAGAGACAUGACAAGGCAAAGUAUUACAUUGCCAAUACAUAAAAAAAAAAAAAAAAAUAGCAGACAAAACAGAUCAGAACACAACCUGGUAAUGAUUGAGCAAAAACAUUGAAGAAAGAGAGAGAGGAGCUAAUUCUGGCUGCUCAAGACUAAGCCUCAAGAAUAAAUGCAUACAAAGUCAGAAUAGAGAAAAUAGCAGCAGACAGCAAAUGGUGCCUCUGCAAAGAAGCUGAAGAAACAACAAACAUUGAUUCUGGCUACCUGGAUGGCAUAUUCAGAGGCUGGCAUUGCAAGCCGAAUUUUCAAAAGACACUGUUGUCCAGUGGAAAUUAUAAAGUGGGGCAUAUGACCUGAAACCUCUUUCCCAAGGCUAGAGGGUUCAAUACUUAUGAUCCUGCAUCAUAAAACCGGAAGGCUGACUCAUGUGUGGUUGCUUCAGCUUCUGAGCACAGUGAUUCGGAUGACCUGCCUUUGGAGGAACAAAUGUGUGCAUCGUCUCCAUAUGUGACCAAAGCUGAUCCUCUUCCAAGAAAAGGAGAAAGAAAAAUAAAAAGAAACAGACUCCAACUGAAACCUUCUUCAUAGAUAUCUGAAGGACCUGGAGGACCAGUUUAUCAUUCCCUAGGGAUGGAUUGAUGGGAAUCAGCAGUUGGCCGGGCUUUCCUAAGCUGUGUGGAGAAGCCUGUAUUUGAACUACCAGCCUUCAGGAUUCAAGCCUCUUGCAUAUUAACUUGAGAAAAUUGCUGUCAUUAAGGCAGCAGAGUUAAUACUGCACAUUCUCCCAGUAGUUCUAUGUGUUCAUAAACUAAUGGCUGCAAAGGGAUUUGGUUAGAUGAAUCAUUCUAGCACAUGCAGACGAUGAAGAUAAUGUUAAGAGAAUAUGUUUUGAAUCGUGACAAGGAGUUUUAUGAAUCCAGGAGAAUGACCUUCAGAGACAGGAGAAAGAGCCACAAAUUAGACAACCAUCAUGCAAGAGAAUCUCAGCCCACAGGAAGAAAACUGAUGUAGAAAGCAUUUCAGAAGGUAUCCAUUCUAGUUUCCUUGAAAGUAAAAGUAAGGGAGGAGAGAAAAAUAUUUGGUCAUGCAAGAUGCUGUUAUUGUGGAAUAAGAUACUGUAAAAAUAUAAAUAAAAUUAAAUAAAAUUAAAUAAAUAAAUAGAAAAAUGACUCAUAGUUUGGGCUUCUAGUCUAGGCUGCCUUAAAGGGCUGACACUACUUGAUGUUUUGGAGGCUGGCAAAGUCCCAUUCCAUCCCCAUCGCAUCCUCAACAUUAGUGGGUAGCUCCCCCCUCCCACAUAAGAGUAAGAAUAAAAAUGGCUAUGAGAGUUGGAUCCUAAGGAAGGCUGAGCACUGAUGAAUUGAUGCUUUUGAAUUGUGGUGCUGGAGAAAACUCUUGAGAGUCCCUAAGGAGAUCAAAUCAGUCAAUCCUAAAGGAAAUCAACCCUGAUUCUUCUUUGGAAGGACUGAUGCUGAAGCUGAAGCUCAAGUACUUUAGCCACCAAAUGAGAAGAGAGGACUCAUUGGAAAAGACCCUGAUGUUGGGAACGAUUGAGGGCAAAAGGUGAAGGGGACGGUGGAGGAUGAGAUGUUUAGAUGAGCUGGUUAGAUAGUAUUAUCGAUGCAAUGAACAUGAGUUUGACAAACUCCAGGGGACAGUGGAGGACAGAGGGUUGGUGUUUUAUGGUCCAUGGGGUCAUGAAGAGAUAUGACUUGACUGAACAUCAAAAAAGAAUAAUUCAUAAGCCAGAUAAUUCUUGUAAAUUCUGUAUACUCUUUAUACUCUUACCAAAGAUGGUGUGAGAUUUCAGGGGAGAAUAUAUAAGAUCUCUUGAGAUGUCUAAAAAGUUUUAAUUAGUUUAUUUAUUUUUAAAAUUCAGGUGCCCCUGACAUUACAUGAAAUUGAAACUGACUCUGAAAAACUAGAGCAAUCCUUAUCAUAUUUUCUGUUCCUUUGUAAUUUAUGGAUCAAAGUGAACAUAAAUUAUUAUAAAUUGUUUAAUUAUAAUAAAAUUGUUAUAUUAAGGAAAGAUAACUUCUGAAAACCACAGCUCUCAUCAUUGAUCACUGUUAUUAUCCAUUCCAUA